CAGGCUAGAGUGCAGGAGAGGAAGGUAGAAUUCCCGGUGUAGCGGUGAAAUGCGUAGAGAUCGGGAGGAAUACCAGUGGCGAAGGCGGCCUUCUGGACUGACACUGACGCUGAGGUGCGAAAGCGUGGGUAGCAAACAGGAUUAGAUACCCUGGUAGUCCACGCCGUAAACGAUGUCGACUAGCCGUUGGGGUCCUCGAGACCUUUGUGGCGCAGUUAACGCGAUAAGUCGACCGCCUGGGGAGUACGGCCGCAAGGUUAAAACUCAAAUGAAUUGACGGGGGCCCGCACAAGCGGUGGAGCAUGUGGUUUAAUUCGAUGCAACGCGAAGAACCUUACCUACUCUUGACAUCGAGCGAACUUUCCAGAGAUGGAUUGGUGCCUUCGGGAACGCUCAGACAGGUGCUGCAUGGCCGUCGUCAGCUCGUGUUGUGAAAUGUUGGGUUAAGUCCCGUAACGAGCGCAACCCUUGUCCCUAUUUGCCAGCGAUUCGGUCGGGAACUCUAGGGAGACUGCCGGUGACAAACCGGAGGAAGGUGGGGACGACGUCAGGUCAUCAUGGCCCUUACGAGUAGGGCUACACACGUGCUACAAUGGCCGGUACAAUGGGCUGCAAUCCCGCGAGGGGGAGCCAAUCUCAUAAAGCCGGUCUCAGUCCGGAUCGGAGUCUGCAACUCGACUCCGUGAAGUCGGAAUCGCUAGUAAUCGUGCAUCAGAAUGGCACGGUGAAUACGUUCCCGGGCCUUGUACACACCGCCCGUCACACCAUGGGAGUGGACUGCACCAGAAGUGGUUAGCCUAACUUCGGAGGGCGAUCACCACGGUGUGGUUCAUGACUGGGGGAAGUCGAA
rnacentral:rRNA from 1 species